rnacentral:rRNA from 1 species
GUCUUUACAGAGAAAGCUUUAUGCGCCAUAGGAUGGGCCUGCAUUUGAUUAGUUUGUUGGUGGGGUAAUGGCCUACCAAGACUUUGAUCAAUAGCUGAUUUGAGAGGAUGAUCAGCCAACUUGGGACUGAGACACGGCGCAAAGUCUUACGGGAGGCAGUAGUUGGGAAUAUUGCACAAUGGAGGAAACUCUGAUGCAGCGAUCCCGCGUGAGUGAAGAAGGCCUUUGGGUUGUAAAGCUCUUCCGUCGGGGAAGAAAAUG